rnacentral:rRNA from 1 species
GACGAACGCUGGCGGCGUGCUUAACACAUGCAAGUCGAACGGAAAGGCCCUGCUUUUGUGGGGUGCUCGAGUGGCGAACGGGUGAGUAACACGUGAGUAACCUGCCCUUGACUUUGGGAUAACUUCAGGAAACUGGGGCUAAUACCGGAUAGGAGCUCCUGCUGCAUGGUGGGGGUUGGAAAGUUUCGGCGGUUGGGGAUGGACUCGCGGCUUAUCAGCUUGUUGGUGGGGUAGUGGCUUACCAAGGCUUUGACGGGUAGCCGGCCUGAGAGGGUGACCGGCCACCUUGGGACUGAGAUACGGCCCAGACUCCUACGGGAGGCAGCAGUGGGGAAUAUUGCACAAUGGGCGGAAGCCUGAUGCAGCAACGCCGCGUGCGGGAUGACGGCCUUCGGGUUGUAAACCGCUUUCACCUGUGACGAAGCGUGAGUGACGGUAAUGGGUAAAGAAGCACCGGCUAACUACGUG